rnacentral:rRNA from 1 species
ACACAUGCAAGUCGAACGGAGCUGCUUUGAUGAAGUUUUCGGAUGGAUUUAAAGCAGCUUAGUGGCGGACGGGUGAGUAACGCGUGGGUAACCUGCCUCACACUGGGGGAUAACAGUUAGAAAUAGCUGCUAAUACCGCAUAAGCGCACGGUUCCGCAUGGAACAGUGUGAAAAACUCCGGUGGUGUGAGAUGGACCCGCGUCUGAUUAGCCAGUUGGCGGGGUAACGGCCCACCAAAGCGACGAUCAGUAGCCGGCCUGAGAGGGUGAACGGCCACAUUGGGACUGAGACACGGCCCAAACUCCUACGGGAGGCAGCAGUGGGGAAUAUUGCACAAUGGGGGAAACCCUGAUGCAGCGACGCCGCGUGAGUGAAGAAGUAUUUCGGUAUGUAAAGCUCUAUCAGCAGGGAAGAAAGUGACGGUACCUGAAUAAGAAGCCCCGGCUAACUACGUGCCAGCAGCCGCGGUAAUACGUAGGGGGCAAGCGUUAUCCGGAUUUACUGGGUGUAAAGGGAGCGUAGACGGCAAGGCAAGUCUGAAGUGAAAGCCCGGUGCUUAACGCCGGGACUGCUUUGGAAACUGUUUGGCUGGAGUGCCGGAGAGGUAAGCGGAAUUCCUAGUGUAGCGGUGAAAUGCGUAGAUAUUAGGAAGAACACCAGUGGCGAAGGCGGCUUACUGGACGGUAACUGACGUUGAGGCUCGAAAGCGUGGGGAGCAAACAGGAUUAGAUACCCUGGUAGUCCACGCCGUAAACGAUGAUUGCUAGGUGUAGGUGGGUAUGGACCCAUCGGUGCCGCAGCUAACGCAAUAAGCAAUCCACCUGGGG